rnacentral:tRNA from 1 species
GCACAUAACGUAUAAAAGGAUAGUAUGCCAGUCUUCCAAACUGGAGGAGCGAGUUCGAUUCUCGCUAUGUGCU